rnacentral:tRNA from 1 species
GGAAGGUUGGCAGAGUGGUAAUGCAGCGGCUUGCUAAGCCGUGGCUCCGCAAGGGGUCCAUCAGUUCGAUCCUGAUACCUUCCGCCA